rnacentral:rRNA from 1 species
CGGCGAGUGAGCGGCAAAAGCUCAAAUUUGAAAUCUGGCGUCUUCGACGUCCGAGUUGUAAUUUGAAGAAGGCGACUUUGUAGCUGGUCCUUGUCUAUGUUCCUUGGAACAGGACGUCAUAGAGGGUGAGAAUCCCGUGUGGCGAGGAUCCCAGUUAUUUGUAAAGUGCUUUCGACGAGUCGAGUUGUUUGGGAAUGCAGCUCUAAGUGGGUGGUAAAUUCCAUCUAAAGCUAAAUAUUGGCGAGAGACCGAUAGCGAACAAGUACAGUGAUGGAAAGAUGAAAAGAACUUUGAAAAGAGAGUGAAAAAGUACGUGAAAUUGUUGAAAGGGAAGGGCAUUUGAUCAGACAUGGCGUUUGCUUCGGCUUUCGCUGGGCCAGCAUCAGUUUUAGCGGUUGGAUAAAUCCUCGGGAAUGUGGCUCUGCUUCGGUAGAGUGUUAUAGCCCGUGGGAAUACAGCCAGCUGGGACUGAGGAUUGCGACUUUUGUCAAGGAUGCUGGCGUAAUGGUUAAAUGCCGCCCGUCUUGAA